rnacentral:rRNA from 1 species
UACGUAGGGUGCAAGCGUUGUCCGGAAUUAUUGGGCGUAAAGAGCUCGUAGGCGGUUUGUCGCGUCUGCUGUGAAAGCCCGAGGCUCAACCUCGGGUCUGCAGUGGGUACGGGCAGACUGGAGUGCGGUAGGGGAGAUUGGAAUUCCUGGUGUAGCGGUGGAAUGCGCAGAUAUCAGGAGGAACACCGAUGGCGAAGGCAGAUCUCUGGGCCGUUACUGACGCUGAGGAGCGAAAGCAUGGGGAGCGAACAGGAUUA